CUUUGUUACUUCGAGUAGUUAUCUCUACAAAAGAAGCCCGUCGAAUCCUGCUCACAGAGAUAUCUAAAGAAUUUUAUCGAAUCACCAGCAGAGACCUCCGGGCAACUUGGAAUGCAUCCCUCGACAAGUAUGUGCCUCGCUUGAUAAAACUGUACCGAGCCAGGAAGGCAGCUUUUGGUCCAGAUAUGGAGAUGUUGCUGAAUAAACUUGAAGAGCUUGUUGGGUUGAUAGUUUGGGACAGUGCCCCUCCUCUCUCCCACCUGACGUGGAGUACACUACCCAACACUAACACAGCUGCAUAGUUAUUUGAGAGUUCGAAAAAACAUCGUUAUUCUUCCAAGUUCCAACCGUCCAGUCCAGCAGCUGUCAACAUGCAAUGGAAAUCAGGUGAUUUCGUAAGCUUUACCUAUACCAACAGUGUUGUCCCGUGUGAUGCACGUUUCCAUAUAUGGACCUACCUGUCGAAGUGGGCGUGGCCCAUUGGGGUUCCCCAGGAUAAAGCAAACUCGGACGCGCAGCGCGAGCACAACAGAGACUCCAUACUGCUUUUGUUCCCAAUCCCCUUUCCCCGUGCAAUUUACAAUUGUAAAAUAAUAGGUAAUAAAAUUACUAUCAUGCAAUAAGAAAACUUUUCUCCAUGAAAUCUUUCCCUGCACUUCACACUUAAAAAAGGUCCUCUUAGUGUAGCAGGGUGGACCUUGUGGGUAAAACACAUACA